rnacentral:lncRNA from 1 species
GAUUAGAUACGUUGGGUUAACAAGGACAGAAUUUUACAUCUCACUGACUUAGCUGAAGGUGCAUAUAGCGGAAGGUGUAUACGGUAAUGAACCAUUCAGAUCCAUUGCAGUAGUUCAAAGUUUCUUUUUGAACGAUUAGUUUUGAAUGAAGUAAAUAUUUGUAAGUUUUGAUAGUGUUUCAAAAGUGCAUUGGAUUCUAUAAUAUUUUGCAACAUACAUGCUGAACAAAGAGUAAAUUGUUUCCCUCAUGAACUAUGUCAUGACUCUCACUUUUUGGUGAUAACAAAUGGUGUCCUACCUGGUUUGCACACACUACAACUAUUCCAUCGGACAUGCUACCUCCCACCAAGCACAAGUACCAGUAAUUCUAUUCACCAAUACUUAGGCAGAUGGGAAAAAUCACUUAUCUCUGUCGAGAUUUGAACCUCGAUUUUCCAAGUUUGAAUUCGCUUUAUUUACUGUUAGGCCACAUCCCUGGUGCCCUCGUCAUGACUAUUCACUUGGAUACUUGGAAAGGAGUACACCCAUAAUAUCAAGCUACUAUUUCUGUGAAACCAAAUCCUAAUAUUAGCAUUUGCUCUUAUUCUAAUGAAGUUUGUUAAGUUGGCUAGAAUCGAUCCUAAAAGGAGCUCCACCACUUAAAUCUUUGUGAAUUUUCAGAAGUGCUUGACUUGCAAUAAAGAUAGAAGCAAUCUCUGGUACCUUGAGCUCAAUGAUUUCUUUUGAAUGGUAGUAUCAUAAUAAUGGCACAAUGGGGUUAUAUAUAUUGAAUGUUCAAACUGGUUAAUAGAAAUUUUGAACUAAUGUAUUAUGCCUUUAAAUUUUGGAUUGAAUGCUCUCAUUCAUAUAUCAAUAUAACGCAAUCAGAGUUUAUCAAAAAAAUUCCACAAAAUCAACAUAUAUUAAUACAAAUGAAAAAGUAAAUAUAGUCAUAAAUUCGUGUUGCAUGACCCCGAAACACUAAAAAUUGAACACGAAAGUCAUGGCGAAGCAAGAGUUUUUGUCACUAGGCCGUUUCUUAUGGACUUACGAAAUUUCAGACCAAUCAGAGUUCGUCAAAAAAAUCUACAUAAUCAACAUGUACUAAUACACACGAAAAAGUGGAUAUAACUAUAAAUUCGUGUUGCAUGACCCCGAAAUGCCAGAAAUUGAACUCGAAAGUCAUGAGGAAACAAUGCGUAUUGGUCACUAGGCCGUUUCUAAUGGACCCGCAAAAUUUCAUGCCAAUCAGAGUCUGUUAAAUUUUAAUUUUUUUUACAAAAUCAACAUGUACUAACACACGAAAAAGUGGAUAGUCAUAAAUCCGUGUUGCGUGACCUCGAACCGUCAUAAAAUGAACUCGAAAGUCAUGGCGAAGCAAUGAGUAUUGGUCACUAGGCCGUUUCCUAUGGACCUACGAAAUUUUAUGCCAAUCGGAGUUCGUAAAAAAAUCUUCAAAAUCAACAUGUAUAUAACACAUGAAAAAGUAGAUAUGCUCAUAAAUUUGUAUCAAAGCACCAAAAAAUGAAGCCAAAAUACCAAAAAUGAACUGGGGAGUCAUGCCAAAGCAAUGAAUAUUGGUCACUAGAUCGUUUCCUAUGCACCUAAAAAAUUUCAGGCUAAUUAGAAUCCGUCAAAAAAAUUCUACAAAAUCAACAAGUACUAAUACACACGAAAAAGUGGAUAUAGUCAUAAAUUCGUGUUGCAUGACCACGAAACGCCAGAAAAGGAACCCGAAAGUCAUGGCGAAGCAAUGAGGUCGUUUCCUAUGAACCUAUAAAAGUUUAGGCCAAUCAGAGUACGAUAAUUUUUUUUUACAAAAUCAACAUGUGCUAAUACAUACGAAAAAGUGGCUAAAAAGCAACAUUAGUCAUGGCGAAUCGAUGAGUAUUGGUCACUAGGUCAUUUCCUACGGACCUACGAAAUUUCAGGCUAAUCAGAGUCCAUAUUUUUUUAUAACAAAAUCAGCAUGUACUAAUACAUACGAAAAGUGGAUAUAAGAAUAAGUUCGUGUUGCAAGACCUCAAAAUGCCAGAAAAUAAACUCGGAAGUCAUGACAAAGUAAUGAGUAUUGGUCACUAGGCCGUUUUCUAUGGACAUGCAAAAUUUCAGGCCAAUCAGAGUCCGUAAAUAUUUUUACAAAACCAACAUGUAUUAAUACACACGAAAAUGUUAAUAUCAUCAUAAAUUCAUGUUGCAUGACCCCGAAACAUAAAAUAUAAACCCGAAAAGCAUGGAGAACAAUGAGUAUUGGUCACUAGGCCGUUUCUUAUGACCCAACGUAAUUACAGGCCAACCAUGGCGUGGACAUUAGCAGACUAAAAUUAGAAAUUUUCCUGAAUUUCUGUUUUAUGGCCCUAAAACGCAAAGAAGAGGAACGAUUAUGGCAAAGCAAAUGACUAUUGUUCAUUAAGUCAUUUUUUAUGGGCCCAAACAAUUUUAGGGGAUUCGGAGCCCAUCGUCCCGAAUUCCUAUUUUAUGGCUCUAAAGUGCCAAAUAACAAGAAACGGUCAUGGCAAACCAAUCGGACGGGAAUCCAGUUUUAUGGCCCUAAAAUGCCAAAAACGAGUAACGGUCAUGGAGAGGCGGUGACUAUUGUUCCUUAGGUCAUUUUUGAUGAGUCGGAAAAAUUUUAGGCGAUCCGAGUCCGGGCGCCCGGGCUUAUGCAGGAGGCGUGGGAUAUAGCACACGAAAAUCUAGCUAUCGGUCGCCAUUCCAAUUUUGUGGCCCUAAAAUGCCAAAAUAUGAGUAACGGUCAUGGCGAGGCAGCGACUAUUGUUCUAUAGGUCAUUUUUGAUGGAACGACAAAAUUUUAGGCGAUGCAGAUCCAGGCGCCCGGGCCCGUGCAGGAGGCGUGAGCUAUAGCAAACGAAAAUCUAGUAAUCACGCGGAAUUCUAAUUUUAUGGCCCUAAAACGCCAAAAAACGAGUAACGAUCAUAGCAAGGUGGUAACUAUUGUUCCUUAUGUCAUUUGUUAUAGGCCGGUAAAAUUUAAGACGAUCCAGGUCCAGCGCUCGGGCCAAUGUAGGAGGCGUGGGUUAUAACACACAAACAUCUAGGAAUCGGACGGAAUUUCAGUUUUAUGGCCUUAAAACGUCAAAGAAUGAGUAACAGUCAUAGAGAGGCGAUGACUAUUGUUUCUUAGGUCAUUUUUGAUGGGUCGGCAAAGUUUUAGGCGAUACAGGUCUAAGCGCUCGGGCCCAUGCAUGAGGCGUGGGUUAUAGCACACGAAAAUAUGGGAAUCAGACAGAAUUAUAGUUUUAUGGCCCUAAAAUGCCAAAAAUCGAGCAACUGUCAUGGCAAGGCGGUGACUAUUGUUCCUUAGGUCAUUUUUAUGGGCCGGCAAAAUUUUAGGCGAUCCGAGUCUAGACGCCCGGGCCUAUGCAGGAGGCGUGGGCACACGAAAAUCUGAGAAUCGAGCAAAAUUUUAAUUUUAUGGCUCUAAAUCGCCAAAAACGAGUAACGGUCAUGGCGAGGAAGUGUCUAUUGUUCCUUAGGUCUUUUUUUAUAGGCUGGAGGUGUGGGUUAUAGCACACUAAAGGAAUUCUAGCUUUAUGGCCCUAAAACGCCAAAAUCGAGAAAUGGUCAAGGUGAGUCGAUGAUUAUUGUUCCUUAGGUCAGUUUUGAUGGUCUAGUAAAAUCUUAGACAAUUCAAGUACAAGCGCCCAAGCCCAUACAUGAGGCGUGGGUUAUCGCACACGAAAAUUUGAGACCAAGCGGAAUUCUAAUUUUAUGGCCCUAAAACGUCAAAAAAUGAGUAACGGUCAUGGUGAGACGGUGACUAUUAUUCCUUAGGCCAUUUUUUUAUGGGCCAGCAAAAUUUUAGGUGAUCCGGGUUCUGGCGCCCGAGCCCAUGCAAGAGUCGUGUUCUAUAUCAUACGAAAAUUUAGAAAUCGGUCAAAUUCUAGUUUUAUGACCCUAAAACGCCAAAAAAAUGAGUAACAGUAAUGGUGUGGCGGUGAAUAUUGUUCUUUAGGACAUUUUUGAUAGACUGGUGAAUUUUAGGUGAUCUAGGUCUGGGCGUCCGGGCCUAUGCAGUAGACUUGGGCUAUAGCACACGAAAAUCGAAUAAUCGGGCGUCAUUCUAGUUUUAUAGCCCUAAAAUGCCAAAAACGAGUAACGAUCAUGUCGAGGCGGUGACUAUUGUUCCUUAGGUCGUUUGGGCUGACAAAAUUUAAUGCGAUCCGGGUUUGGGCGUCCGGGCCCAUGCAGGAGGUGUGGGCUAUAGAACACGAAAAUCUGUGAAUCGGUUGCCAUUCCAGUUUUAUGGCCUAAAACGCCAAAAAAUGAAUAAUGGUCAUGGCGAGGUAGUGACUAAUGUUCCUUAGGUCGUUUUUGAUGGGCCGAAAUUUUUUUAGGCGAUCCGGGUCUGGACGCCCGUCUCAAUAUAGGAGGCGUGAGCUAUUGCAUACGAGAAUCUGGCCACCGAUAGCCAUUCAAGUUUUAUGGCCCUAAAAUACAAAAAAGCGAGUAACGAUCAUGACGAGGCGGUGACUAUUGUUUCUUAGGUCAUAUUUGAUGGGCCAACAAAAUUUUAGGAGAUACAGGUCCGGGCACCCAGGCCCAUGCAGGAGGCAUGGGCUAUAGCACGUGAAAAUCUGGGAAUCGGUCGUCGUUCCAGUUUUGUUGCCCUAAAACGCCAAACAACGAGUAACGUUCAUGGCGAGGCGGUGACUAUUGUUCCUUAGGUCAUUUUUGAAGGGCUGAUAAAAUUUUUAGGCGAUCCGGGUCCGAGCGCCCCAGCCCAUCUAGGAGGUGUGGACUAUAGCGUACGAAAAUCUAGGAAUCGGUCGCCAUUCCAGUUUAUAGCCCUAAAAUGCCAAAAAAUGAGUAACAGUCAUCGCGAGGCAGUAACUGUUAUUCCUUACGUCGUUUUUUAUGGGUCGGGAAAAAUUUUGGUGAUCAGAGUCCCGCACGCGGGCCUAUCACACGAAAAUCUAGGAAUCAGGUAGAAUUCCAGUUUUAUGGCUCUAACACCAAAAUAUGAGUGACGGCCAUGGCGAGGCGGUGACUAUUGUUCCUAAGGUCGUUUUUGAUGGGCCGGCAAAAUUUUAGACGAUCCGAGUCCCGGGACCAUAUAGGAGGCGUGCGCAAUAGCACACGAAAAUCUGAAAAUCGUGCAGAACUCAAAUUUUGUGGACCUCAAAAAUCAAAAUACGAGUAUCGGUCAUGGCGAAGGGGUAACUAUUGUUCCUUAGGUCAUUAUUGAUGGACCGACAAAACUUUAGGCGAACCAGGUCUUGCUGCUCGGGACAUUCAAGCCGCAAACUGAUUUGCUUCGUACAGAUUAGAUACGUUGGGUUAACAAGGACAAAAUUUACAUCUCACUGACUUAGCUGAAGGUGCAUAUAGCCGAAGGUGUAUACGGGUAAUGAACCAUUCAGAUCCAUUGCAGUAGUUCAAAGUUUCUUUUUGAACGAUUAGUUUUGAAUGAAGUAAAUAUUUGUAAGUUUUGAUAGUGUUUCAAAAGUGCAUUGGAUUCUAUAAUAUUUUGCAACAUACAUGCUGAACAAAGAGUAAAUUGUUUCCCUCAUGAA